rnacentral:rRNA from 1 species
AUACGUAGGUGACAAGCGUUAUCCGGAAUUACUGGGCGUAAAGGGCGUGUAGGCGGUCUUGUAAGUCAGAAGUGAAAUUCCCGGGCUCAACCGGGGCGGGGCUUUGGAAACUGCGGGACUUGAGUGCUGGAGGGGAGAGCGGAAUUCCUCGGGUAGCGGGGAAAUGCGAAGAUGUUAGGAAGAACACCCGUGGCGAAGGCGCCUAUCUGGUCAGUAACUGACGCUGAGGCGCGAAAGCGUGGGGAGCAAACAGGAUUAGAUACCCUGGUAGUCCACGCCGUAAACGAUGAGUUCUAGGUGUAGGGGGUAUCCCGCCCCUUUGUGCUGCAGUUAACGCAAUAAGGACUCCGCCUGGGGAGUACGGUCGCAAGGCUGAAACUCAAAUGAAUUGACGGGG